UGUGUUUGAUCAUACAGGAACAUGUUUGUUUCCUUUCAGACGUAGUACUGAACUACUUUUUUAAAGUUUCACAUCAGGGACUGAAUUAGCUUAGACAGCAGCUAGCAUGCAGCUCCCUCAUUAGAAACUACAAACACAGACUUCCUCUCCAGAGAGACACAAACAUCUUUAAUAGUUCUUGCAGAAGCAUGGCAGCUGGACACCAGCAGUUUGAACCCCGGGCCUCAGGGGGGCGCUGCAGGUCUCUUAAAACACAGCCUAGCAGACUCUUGAACAGUAAAAACUACCUGAGAGAAUCACUUCAUUUCUUCAGACGGUUUAAGAAUGACAGAAAUAAAUAAGUCGACACAUAAAUGACCCCGACAUUCUGGAUUAGCCGCUGAUGCAGGAGUGACGGGUAUAAACCACUCUUAACCCUCAUGCAUCAUGAUGGACAUUUUAGUCCAUCUGGUCAAAUGUCUCCUCUUCAUCUGGUCAUCAUUUAGUCUGUUAGGACAUAUGGAACACAUUUUAAUGUUUUUAACAGAUCAAUAGAACACUGAAACAUGUUUACGACCCUCUGAAGUCACUGAGGACAAAAAAUGUCCACUUAAAAAACUGAUAUAAAAAUAGAACAGAUUGAUAUUUGUUUCUAUUUUUUUCUGCAUAAAUCUCUGAAACAACUUCAGCCCUGCUCAAAACUACCAAACAUUCAAUCAUUAUGAAGAAUUUAACCCUUUAAAUGACAGAAUUAUGUAAUCAAACUCCACUCUUCAGUAGAGAGCGCUGACCUUUCUCCUGCUGAGGAGGAGAUGAGCGACAGAGAAGAAGAAGAGGACGUGGCUUCAUGAAAUCCUCAGGGCGAGAUAGGCUGCGUCGUCCAGGAGCUGCAGCUCUAUAACGAGCGCUUCGGGAACACGCCGCACAUUACUGCGAUCGAAGCUCUGCAGGAAGUCCUGGAGAAGUUAAAGAGCCAACAGCUGCCGCCGUCAGAGAAGAAGCUGUGCCUGCUGCCUGCUUGUGAUGCAGGGGAGCAGUGUGCGGUGCGUAAAGGUUCGAGGUUCGGGAAGC